CAGGCGGGAUUACCCGCUGAGUUUAA
rnacentral:rRNA from 2 species